rnacentral:rRNA from 1 species
GGAUGCGAUCAUACCAGCACUAAAGCACCGGAUCCCAUCAGAACUCCGAAGUUAAGCGUGCUUGGGCGAGAGUAGUACUAGGAUGGUGACCUCCUGGGAAGUCCUCGUGUUGCAUUCCC